AAGGGAGACCUAAUUCAGGUAUGGGACGAAAAAAAAGUAGUCGCUACCAAGAAUCAAUCCCAAAAGGUCGGAGCGAGGUAUGAGGCUUUCAAACUAGGUUCUGGGUUCAAACAAGACCUGAAUCAGGAACAAGGGCUAUUAGCUCAGGUGGUUAGAGCGCACCCCUGAUAAGGGUGAGGUCCCUGGUUCGAGUCCAGGAUGGCCCACCUGCACAGGUGGCAAAAACAAGAGAAGCGAGGAAUCAGCACCUUAUCUUAUCUAUAUAUAAGAGAGAAUGCUGGCUCUGAGUAAAGAGUCCAGAGGAACCUUGAAAACUGCAUAGAGCUAGGUGAAAAAGCCAAAAAAGAAGACCGCAA
rnacentral:tRNA from 2 species